rnacentral:rRNA from 1 species
UACGGAGGGAGCUAGCGUUGUUCGGAAUUACUGGGCGUAAAGCGCGCGUAGGCGGCUUUGUAAGUUAGAGGUGAAAGCCCGGGGCUCAACCCCGGAACUGCCUUUAAGACUGCAUCGCUUGAAUCCGGGAGAGGUGAGUGGAAUUCCGAGUGUAGAGGUGAAAUUCGUAGAUAUUCGGAAGGACACCAGUGGCGAAGGCGGCUCACUGGACCGGUAUUGACGCUGAUGUGCGAAAGCGUGGGGAGCAAACAGG